GGCUUAGAGUUUGAUCAUGGCUCAGGACGAACGCUGGCGGCGUGCUUAACACAUGCAAGUCGAACGGGGUGUUUAUUUCGGUAAACACCAAGUGGCGAACGGGUGAGUAACGCGUAAGCAAUCUACCUUCAAGAUGGGGACAACACUUCGAAAGGGGUGCUAAUACCGAAUGAAUGUAAGAGUAUCGCAUGAGACACUUACUAAAGGAGGCCUCUGAAUAUGCUUCCGCUUGAAGAUGAGCUUGCGUCUGAUUAGCUAGUUGGUGAGGGUAAAGGCCCACGAAGGCGACGAUCAGUAGCCGGUCUGAGAGGAUGAACGGCCACAUUGGGACUGAGACACGGCCCAGACUCCUACGGGAGGCAGCAGUGGGGAAUCUUCCGCAAUGGGCGAAAGCCUGACGGAGCAACGCCGCGUGAACGAUGAAGGUCUUAGGAUCGUAAAGUUCUGUUGUUAGGGACGAAGGGUAAGAAUCAUAAUACGGUUUUUAUUUGACGGUACCUAACGAGGAAGCCACGGCUAACUACGUGCCAGCAGCCGCGGUAAUACGUAGGCGGCAAGCGUUGUCCGGAAUUAUUGGGCGUAAAGGGAGCGCAGGCGGGAAACUAAGCGGAUCUUAAAAGUGCGGGGCUCAACCCCGUGAGGGGGUCCGAACUGGUUUUCUUGAGUGCAGGAGAGGAAAGCGGAAUUCCCAGUGUAGCGGUGAAAUGCGUAGAUAUUGGGAAGAACACCAGUGGCGAAAGCGGCUUUCUGGACUGUAACUGACGCUGAGCUCGAAAGCUAGGGUAGCGAACGGGAUUAGAUACCCCGGUAGUCCUAGCCGUAAACGAUGGAUACUAGUGUGGGGAGUAUCGACCCCUUCGUGCNAGUNCG
rnacentral:rRNA from 1 species